GACGAGCCACCCGAACGUUAUUCGGAAUUACUGGGCGUAAAGGGCGCGUAGGCGGCCUACUAAGUCGAACGUGAAAUCCCCGGGCUUAACCCGGGAACUGCGUCCGAUACUGGUUGGGCUUGAAUCCGGGAGAGGGAUGUGGAAUUCCAGGUGUAGCGGUGAAAUGCGUAGAUAUCUGGAGGAACACCGGUGGCGAAGGCGGCAUCCUGGACCGGUAUUGACGCUGAGGCGCGAAAGCCAGGGGAGCAAACGGG
rnacentral:rRNA from 1 species